AGAGUGAACGCUGGCGGCAGGCCUAACACAUGCAAGUCGAACGGCAGCACAGAGGAGCUUGCUCCUUGGGUGGCGAGUGGCGGACGGGUGAGGAAAACGUCGGAAUCUGCCUAUUUGUGGGGGAUAACGUAGGGAAACUUACGCUAAUACCGCAUACGACCUACGGGUGAAAGCGGAGGACCUUCGGGCUUCGCGCAGAUAGAUGAGCCGACGUCGGAUUAGCUAGUUGGCGGGGUAAAGGCCCACCAAGGCGACGAUCCGUAGCUGGUCUGAGAGGAUGAUCAGCCACACUGGAACUGAGACACGGUCCAGACUCCUACGGGAGGCAGCAGUGGGGAAUAUUGGACAAUGGGCGCAAGCCUGAUCCAGCCAUGCCGCGUGUGUGAAGAAGGCCUUCGGUGUAAAGCACUUUGUCCGGAAAGAAAAGACACUAGGUUAAUACCUGGUGUCAUGACGUACCGGAAGAAGUAAGCGACGCUAACUUCGUGCCAGCAGCCGCGGUAAC
rnacentral:rRNA from 1 species